GGCUCUUUGUUUCUUUUAUAUAAAGAGUCGGACCUGCCCAGUGAAAAUAAAUUUUAACGGCCGCGGUACUCUGACCGUGCAAAGGUAGCAUAAUCACUUGCCUUAUAAUUGAAGGCUAGCAUGAAUGGUUUAACGAGGGUAAUACUGUCUCUUUUUUACUUUAUAGAAUUUGAUUUAUAGGUGAAGAAGCCUAUAUAAGAUUGAAAGACGAGAAGACCCUGUCGAGCUUAAAAACAUAUACAGAAGUGGUUAUAUUAAUAAAUUAAAGUCUGUAUUUAAUUUUUAGUUGGGGCGACUGGGGAACAGAAAAAGCUUCCCUUAAAUAAAAAAUAAAUUUGUUUAGAUCCAGUAAAACUGAUUGAAAAAAUUAGUUACCGCAGGGAUAACAGCAUAAUCUUUCUUGAGAGACCUAAUCGAAAGAAGGGGUUGUGACCUCGAUGUUGGACUAGGAUGUCUUUAAGGUGCAGAAGCCUUAAAAAGUUGGUCUGUUCGACCAUAAAAAUCCUACG
rnacentral:rRNA from 1 species